UAUCUGGCCGCUUGACGUGACCUUCUCUCCUUUCUCCUUCCAGCUGCGUUCGACCGCCGUGAACGCAUCCUCAUCUCCUCUUUCUCGGCCACCGCGAUGCACUGCAAUCACCUUCGGUCCACCGCCGCUUUCCUCCACCGGUGUGAACCCCUCGCUUCGCCGCCCGUCGCUGCCGUUACCCACCCCCUUCUCGUCGCCGGAGAUUAACCCUAACUCGUCGUGCUUCCUUGCCCUCCCUUCCGAAUGUUCCCCUCGUAACACGCUAAACCCUACUAGUUAUCAAUCAUCUAUACGAAAUCUCAACUGUUUCACCCUCCCUCCAGCUUUUCUAAUGCGCCGGCAGGUGCCGAUCGGUUCACUUCCGAAAAAAUUAAUCUUUACCCUAAACCCUAGUUCUAAUCUCGCUACUUGCCAGCAUUCCCUUCUCUUCUUCUCAUCUGAAUCUGUUGUGAAUCCUAAUCCCUCUUCACUUUCUGCCCCAAAUCCUGAUCCUAGUUCUAGUUAUUUUCUUUCAAAAAUCCCAAUUCUUUUCCCAUUCGAUGUUAAACGGCAAGUUGGGUUGUCUUCAACCCUUUAUCCUGUAAUUUACAAGGCAUCAUCAACAAGAAACCUGGCAGUGUUUUUGAAAUGUAGCUUCACACAUCGACAGUCCGUUAGAUUUUGCUUUCAUAUGUUUUCGACUUAUUCUCGUACAUCUCCUAGGAGACCCCGUUCUCCUAAUACUUUUGCAAGAUCCAGUACGACUGAAAGAAAACCUAGGGUUCAUAAUGUGGGAAUAGAUCCAAAUAAGGUGAUUGACAUUGUUGAAAUGAUUAGAGAAGAUGCAAGUGAUUUGGAAUCAAAGUUGAAUCAGAUAAAUCUGAGGCUUUCCCAUGCUUUGGUUUCUGAGAUUCUUCAUGUUUUGAAUGAUCGUGACAUUUCGGCAUUACGUUUCUUUAGCUGGGUGUUGAAUUCUGGCCAGCAUUUUAAGCCUACUGCAGGAAUUUACGAUCAGAUUGUAGAUAAUCUUGGUCGGUUAGAUGAUUUUGAAACUAUGUUCCGAAUGUUAUGCGAACUCUCUUCAGUGGGGCAUUGUCUAAAUGAAAAGGCUUUUAGUUUUCUGACUGGCAGUUCUAUUAGCCUUAAAGAUUCCAUCAGGAAAAUCGUACAAACACUAAAUGGAGUUGGAGGGUCAUGUCAAGGAUCUGGAAUUUACUCACUGAUUAAGGUGCUCUGUGCGAUUAAUGCGUUUCAUCUUGCUAUCUUUGUAAUGGAAGAGACAUCAAGGGAGACUUCUUACUACAAUGUGCUUAUUGCAGCAAAGUGUCAGAAUGGUGAUUUCCAAGGGGCCCGAGAUUUACUUGAUGAGAUGAGAAUAUUUGGUUGUGACCCAAAUACCAAAUCUUAUAAUUAUCUACUAGGAAGCCUGUUUAAGAACAAGAGAGUUGUUGAGGCUUGUGAGUUGCUUGAAACAAUGGAAGACUUGGGUUGCCUUCCAGACAUGGUUACUUUCGAGGUGGUCAUAAUUCAUGCGUGUAAGGCCAAUAGGAUGGAUCUUGCAAUUGAGUUCCUUAACCAGAUUUUGUCCAGAGGGAUUAAGCCAAGGAUAGCGGUGCAUGCAGCGUUCAUCAAGGGAUACUUUUGGUCUGGGCGAAUGGAAGAUGCAUAUAAGUAUGUGGUUGAUAUGAAUGUGAAGGAUAAGUGCUCGAGCAAUAUGAAUUACAGCUUACUUGCCAGCCUUUUACAUGUAUCAGGGAGGGUGGUAGAAGCAGGCAGGGUUCUUCAUGAGAUGAUGGAGAAGGGACUGAAACCCAAUUUCCCUGUUUAUGUGAGAGUAGUGAAAGAUUUACACAAAAUGACUAGGGGAGAUUUGGCUUCAGAAUUGAAAUCUCUAUUUCUAAAGUUUACCUUAAGCACAGAUGCGGGAUGAUGUUUCUUGACAAUUUACAUCUGGAGUUUGUAUGGAUUCAGACAAUUCCAUUCUGAAGUAUAAAUAUGACAUUUAAUUAUUGCUCUAUGGUUUUUAAGGCUGCCAUGAAUGUAAGCAACAAAGAGGUGUGUAUAACGAUGAGGAGGCAGCUGCUCAUGCCUAUGAUCUGGCUGCUCUAAAGUAUUUGGGGUCAGGAACUGUUCUUAACUUUCCUGAAUUUCUUAAGUGAAUUUUCCAAAUGUAGGAAAUCACUUAUCUAAAUGAGUGCCAGGAGAUGCAAAGCAUGUCCAAGAAUGAUUAUGUAGCUUAUAUUCGACGUAAUAGCAAUGGAUUUACAAGAGGAGCAUCAAAAUAUCGUGGAGUCGCUAGGCACCACUCCAGCAGGAGAUGGGAAGCUAGAAUUCAUGAUGCCCAUGACAACAAAAACCUUUUUCUUGGGACUUUUGAGACUCAAGAGGAGGCUGCAAAAGCUUAUGAUCUUGCUGUAAUAAAUUAUAGAGGUUCUGAUGCUCUAACCAACUUCCCCAUCAGCAACUAUCUUAGCGAACAUCCAACAUCAUCACAGCAAUUGCCA